GCUCAUUUUCGCGGCUCCUCCUCUGGCUCCAUCAGACAAUCCUUCUGCGCAUGUCUGGCUCCAAUUUCAGCAGUCUUUUGCGACAGUUUGUGCCCGUCAAGCAGGCGUUUUGCCCUCAAGGCGUUCAAUGGGAAAAAGGGCUGUCGCGUCGUCCAUAUUUUUUACAGUCAUUGGAUUCAAUGCAUUGAUCAGUUCAGAAGUAUUUCGAGACCUGACGAAUCUGCAUUUGACUGACAAGCAACUUCUGUCUCAUGUAGCCUAGUGGGCUGUAGGUGUGCACGUUGUUACUGUGCUUCAAAUGGCUUCGGAUCCGAAUCCCGACUUGUACAAAUACUCCGAAAUCAUGAUUUUAUGCAUUUUAGUAAUGUUACUGUUUUCUGGUGCAGUCUAGAUAGGAUACAGCUGCAGAUGCAUCAUCAAUUUAGCAUCAUUUUUGUAACACUGUAAAACAAUAAUUAAUAUUUUUACAGCACUCUGAUGGUUGGAUUUAGGGUUUGGGUAGACAUUAAAUACAGUAAAUGGGAAGUGUAAUAAAUAAUAUCAAUAAUUCCUGUUAACUUUCAGCCACAACUGUGUCUGAUCUAUCAACAGCCCUGUUUUAUGACCAAAACAAGACAUAUUUAUUCACAAAGUGUUUAUUCGGAUGUCAGAACAAUGUUGAAACAAAACAAUACAAGAACAGAGCAUUUCAAACUGAUGUUCAGCAUUCAAAAUAGCUGCAUCAGCCUGGAUUCGAACCCAUUAUCCCCGAAUGGUAGUCAGGAACCCUCACCGCUCCACUAAAUCAUUUGAAGGUUCAUUUCUACAAAGUGGGGUUUAAUACCUUCUUUGCUGAAGCUAUUCCAGUGCAAUACAUAAAAUAUGACCACUAGGUGUCACUGUAGAGUGGGGUUUCAAAAACGUUUCGACACAUUUGCUUCGACUGUUUUAGUGUUUCAUGAAGCCUCGCUUUGCCCACCACUACUCGUAAUGUUAACAGUACAGAUAAACAACAAGACAGCAUCUAACGUGAGGGAGUGAGGUGUAUUUAUAGUCCUGGAAAUCAGGGAUGACAAGCUUCAGCUGUGUGUUUGUAAUGAGGGGAAAUCAGAACAGAAUCAGGUGUGUGUGGGAGGUGCAUGACAGGAUUUGUAGUCCAAUGGCGGCAGAUUUGUAGUUCUCCGGUGAUCUGCAAUAACUAGAUAGCUGUAAUAGUUCUGAAAACAAUAAAUUAUCUUGUCUAUAUUUUAAUAUACAAUUUCAGAUAUUAAAACUAGAAUCAACACACAAUCUCUUAGUAAGAAAUGCAUUUUUGGCAGAGCAUCAUUUUGUUUACCCCACUAGCAGAUUAUUUACCUUGUUUUAACUAAAACUCACUUAAUUUUUGUCUAUUUUUUGACUAUUGUGGUCUUGAAAAUGCUUAUUCGAUUCAAAAUAAUUUGAUAUUUCAACUUGAAACAAGUUAGAAAGGUGUUUUUUUGUAGUGCAGAGCGGUGUAGAUUGUCUCUAUUUUCCUCUGUUUAUUUGUCAGCUGUUUCCCAGAAUCCCUCUAACCAGCCGUUUCCAUCCGUGUUGUCAUGGAGAUCUGUCCAUGAGUUAAUUAACGCGGUUACAGGUACAUCUCUUCUCAGAACUCAUUAGACUCCCGGUUUAAAACAAGAGAAAUGGUCACGAUCUUAACCAAACUGCCUCAGUCGACCCUGUGCUGCAGGUUUAACCAGGAGACGGCGCUUCUCCUCAGAUUAUACAGUACUGUGUGAUGAUGACUUGUUUGUUUUGUGUCAUUUGAAACAAACCCAUCGUCUUUAAUGGGAAAAGGCGAAAUCCUGCAUACCUCAGAAGUCUGUUUCAUACUAAACCCUGGUGCACUUAAGUGUGUGUCGAUUUGCAUCUUUGAGCCUCAAAGCCACGAUUCCUGACGUUUUUGUGUGUCUGUGAGUGAUCAGCAUGUGAUUAUCGGUGCUCGGCCCUGUAGAUCAGCCCUCAUCAUGAUGUUUUGGAGUUUUGGUCGUGCCAUUUUUAUUUUUCAGAGUGUUUUAUAUGCAUGCGAGAGAAAGAGGGAGAGACAGACAGACAGACAGACGCAUUUAGAAACUCAGGGAGUGCAGACGUUUUUCAUUUCUUCAUCGCUUUAAAUGCCAAUUAUUGCACAUCGACUCGUAAAUCUCUCAGUUUUAAUCACAAUGGUAUUUGGAGAAUGAAUAUUUGGGUGAGUCUCAGCAAAUCACAACACAUAUUCAAGCAUACUGAUCAAAAAAACGGUUUUCUCACAGAAUUUAUGUCUCGUUUUCCAUUCACGAUAAGCAAAUCAAAAAGAUAAAAACUAUACACAAAAAUAUCACACAUGUGAGAAAUGAAUCUUGUUUACUUGUUGAAUUAAAUUGAUUUUCUUGACCUUGUUGGCAGUUUUGAGAACAAAGUUUUUUUAAUUUGAACUUGUAGACUUCAAUAUCUGAAGUCAUUAAAUGUGGGCCUUCAAUAAUUAAUAAUAAAAACUGUAUUGAUAAAUGUAAAAAAAAAAAAAAAAAACAUUCGAUGGAAAACUAAAUUUCCAUGGCAUACUUUAGUGUACUAUAAUAUUUGUAGGAACAUAUGGAACAUUUCACAGCAUAUUACAGGAAAAUGCUUCAUUUAUGUAAAUAUAAAUAUGAAACAAUCUAAAAUAAAAGUAUCUUCACUGUAAAAAGGAAUCAGUUAAUUUACUUUAAAAAGUGAGUAAACCCAUUAUAACCUGGAAUUGUUAAGUUUAAUUUUUAUAAUUAUGCACAUAAUUAUUUUACUUAAUUUCAAGGCUACUGGAUUACUCACUUUCAGUAAAGUCAACUAAUCGAUUUAAAAGCAUCAGGUUUACUCACUUUUUUAAGUAAGGUCAACUAAUCUCUUUAAAAGCAACAGGUUUACUCACCUUUUUUAAAGAUAAAGUCAUCUAAUAGCUUUAAAAGCAAUGGGUUUGCUCUUUUCAAAGUCAACUAAUAGCUUUAAAUGCAUCAAAUUUACUCACUUUAUUUAAGUAAAGUUAACUAAUCCUUUUUUAAAGCAACAGGUUUACUCACUGAUUUUGAGUAAAGUCAACUAAUCGAUUUAAAAGCAUCGCAUUUACUCAAUUUUUUUCAAAAGUAAAGUCAAGUAGUUGAUUUAAAAGCCUUGGUUUACUCUCUUUUUUCUAGUAAUGUCAACUAAUCACUUUAAAAGCGUCGGGUUUACUCCUUUUAAUGGUAAAGUCCGCUAACAGCUUGAAAUGCAUCAGGUUUUCUCUUUUUUUUAAAGUAAAGUCAACUAAUCUCCUUAAAAGCAUUACAUUUAUUAAUGUUAUUCAAGAGUAAAGUCAAGUAAUCGAUUUAAAUGCAUCAAAUUUACUCACUUUAUUUAAGUAAAGUUAACUAAUCCUUUUUUAAAGCAACAGGUUUACUCACUGAUUUUGAGUAAAGUCAACUAAUCACUUUAAAAGUGUCGGGUUUACUCAUUUUAAUGGUAAAGUAAGCUAACAGCUUUAAAUGCAUCAGGUUGUCUCUUUUUUUAAGUAAAGUCAACUAAUCUCCCUAAAAGCAUUACAUUUAUUAAUGUUUUUCAAGAGUAGAGUCAAGUAAUCGAUUUAAAAGCAACAGGUUUCCUCACUUUUUGAAGUAAAGUCAACUAAUCGCUUUAAAAGCGUCUGGUUUGCCCUUUGUGACAGUAAAGUCCUCUAAUAGCUGUAAAUGCAUCGGGUUUUCUCACUUAUUUUAAAGUAAAGUCAAGUAACCUUUUUAAAAGCAUGGCAUUUUUUUUUCACUUUUCUCAAAGUAAAGUCAACUAGUCACUUUAAAAGCAUCUGAUUUACUCACUCUUUUAAGUAAGGUCAACUAGUCACUUUAAAAGCAACAGGUUUACUCACUUUUUUAAGUAAGGUCAACUAAUCACUUUAAAAGCAACAGGUUUACUCACCAUUUUAAGUAAAGUCAACUAAUCUCUUUUAAAUCAUCAGGUUUACUCAAGUUUUUUAAAGUAAAGUCAACGAAUCGCUUUAAAAGCAUCUGAUUUACUCACUUUUUUAAAAAGUAAAGUCAUUUUAUUGCCAUAAAAGCUUCCGGUUUUUUCAUUUUUUAAAAGGUAAAUCAACUAAUCUCUUUGAAAGCCCCGCAUUUACUCACUUUAAAGUCAAGCAAUCGAUUUAAAAGCAACAGGUUUACUCUUACUCUUUAGGUCAACUUAUUGUUUUUUACAGUGUGAGCUGGUCCAGAUAUUAAUAGGGUGUCAUUCACGCUCGCACUGAUUUUCCUCAUGUUGUCACAAGCACAGACUCGUACAGCUGACCUCACACCGCUUCUGUCUUCCACCAAUGAUUUUUGUCUAGAUUCAGCUGGAUUUCAUAUAGAGAAUGUGGAUGAUUUGUCUGUCUCUCUCUUUCUCUUCUAUUGUCCUGGUUUCGCUUUAGGUCAUUUUAACCUCGUAGAUUCAGUGCAGAGUUUAGUGUAUGUAAAAUAUAAACUCAUAUAUUUUCUAGCCUGCAUUAUCCCAUCUGACUUUCCAUGACCCAAUCAGCAUUUUUAACUCACUUUGUGUCUGAUUAUUAACAUAAUAAUGAUUUCACCUUCACUCUUACCUCACAAAACUGCCUUUCUACAAUCCCGUCCACUUUAUUUCAAGGCCAGAUGAAAUUCUACCUUUAUUUGUCUGUUUGUUUUCCUGCGUAUUGCAUAAGGAAUCAAAUAUAGGGGACGCAAUAAACUUUAUUUUUCUGUAAAUGUUGAACUGAUGUGCAAACACGAGCUCUGUUUUGCUGCCGGAUCGAUAUUCUUGCCCUUCCUCAUGUGCCUGCGCUCGAAAAUAACCCGCAUUUCCCCCAACAGGCUUCUCGAUUAUAUGGUUUACAGUUGUCAAACACAACAAAAAGCUGUACUUGUGUUUAAGUACAUUUCUCCUGUAUGCAUACACACAGAGCUGACCUUUAGGGGUCAAACUGUUUGACCUCUAGUAGGAACUGUGUCUGUCCCAGCUGGUGCUCACAUGCUUUAAAGCCUGAUUCAGGCCAUAUAGGGCUUCAAUUAAAGGGACGGUUCAGACAAAUAAUGAAACUUAAUUCAUUAUUACACACUCUAAUUAAACCCACAAGACCUUCGUUGAGCUUCAAACACAAACUGAGAUCAUUUAGAUGAAAUGUGAGAGCUCUCUGACCCUGGAAAGACAGCAAGGGUCCCACAAUUUUGAUUUAUAAGACCUUUUAAAGUAGAGGAGACCAAUGUAUAUUGAUUUCCAUUUAUUACAAGAACAGUCCAGAAAGAGACUUUUGGUUUUAAAGAAAAUAGCUUAUAUAACCCGUGACUUAAAAUAAACUUAAUAAAUAAUUAAAUGAUUCAAUGCUCAGUUUAUAAUCUUGUUUACAAAGACAACAAAUCAUUAUAUUUAUUUUUUGGUCUUAUUUUCAGUUAAUAAUUACAAGAUGGAUCAGUUUUGAAGAAUUAUUCAGUGACACAUUUUUGAUGGUUGUUUGCCGCCACCUGUUGGUUUGUCUAUGUAAUUGCUACAACCUUUAUUCAGAGCAUUAAGUUGCUCUUAACAAAUUAAUUUGAGCAUUUUAUAAUACAUUUUAAUCAUUUUAAAAUAAUCUUUACCAUAAACAUGUGUUUAUGUAUGAACACACUACACACUGGCCUACACACUGUUCCAGUUGUGUCCACUAACUAGUAAAGUCAACUAAUAGCUUUAAAAGCACCAGGUUUACUCACUAAUUUUUUUUUUUUUUAGAAAAAGUUUUGGUUUUAAAGAAAAUAGCUUAUAUAACUCAUGAUUUUACAAAAAAGAACUCAAAAAUAAAUAACCAGCUAAAUAAAUAAAUGAUUCAAUGCUCAGUUAUUAAAGUGCUUUACAUUACAAUCUCGUUAACAAAGAUAACAAAUCAUAUUAUUUUCAGUUAAUAAUUACAAGCUGGAUCGCUUUUGAAGAAUUAUUCAGACACAUUUUUGAUGGUUGUUUGCCGCCACCUAUUGGUUUGUCUAUGUAAUUGCUACAACCUUCAUUUGGAGCGUUAAGUUGCUCUUAAAAGGUUAAUUUUUAAGAGCAACACACUACACACUGGCCUAAACACUGUACCAGUUUUGUCCACUAACUAGUAAAUUCAACUAACUGAUUUAAAAGCAGCUGGUUUACUCAGUUUUUAAACGUAAAGUCAACUAAUAGCUUUCAAAGCAUCAGGUUUACUCACUUUUUUUUCAGAAAGAACCAUUAGUUUUGAAAGAAAAUAGCUUACAUAAUCUGUGAUUUUUAACAAAAAUAAACUCAAAAUAAAUAACCUAAACAAAUAAAUAAAUGAUUCAAUGUUCAGUUGUUAAAGUGCUUUGCAUUAUAAUCUUGAUAACAAAGGCAACAAAUCAUUAUAUUUAUAUUUUAAGUCUUAUUUUCAAUUGAUAAUUACUAGAUGGAUCAGUUUUAAAGAAUUAUUCAGUGACACAUUUUUGAUGGUUGUUUGCCGCCACCUAUUGGCUUGUCUAUGUAAUUGCUACAACCUUCAUUUGGAACGUUAAGUUGCUCUUAAAGGGUUACUUUGAUCAUUUUAUAAUAUUUGUAAUCUCUGCCAUAAGCAUCAGCAUUUAUGUAUGAACACACUACACACUGACCUACACACUGUACCGGUUUUGUCCACUUACUAAAGUCGACUGAUUUAAAAGCAUUUGGUUCACUUCCUAAAGUAAAGUUAACUAAUCACUUUAAAAGCAACAGGUUUAAUCACUUUUUGCAAAUAAACUUUUGGUUUUAAAGAAAAUAGCUUAUAUAACCCGUUAUUUUAACAAAAAUAAACUCAGAAUAAAUAACCAGCUAAAUAAAUAAAUAAAUGAUUCAAUGCUCAGUUAUUAAAGUGCUUUACAUUAUAAUCUCGUUAACAAAGACCACAAAUCAUAUUCAUUUCAGUUAAUAAUUACAAGAUGGAUCAGUUUUGAAGAAUUAUUCAGUGGCACAUUUUUGAUGGUUGUUUGCCGCCACCUAUUGGCUUGUCUAUGUAAUUGCUACAACCUUCAUUUGGAGCGUUAAGUUGCCCUUAAAGGGUUACUUUAAUCAUUUUAUAAUAUUUGUAAUCUCUGCCAUAAGCAUCAGCGUUUAUGUAUGAACACACUACACACUGACCUACACACUGUACCGGUUUUGUCCACCACACAUUCUUCACUCAUUGUUUCGUUUGACAUUGAAGCCAUUGAAGCUGCGUUUUAAAUAGCGCAGCUCCAGUUCUUCUCACUGAACAUGACUUGUAUUAAUUAGUCUUAAUAACUUUAUCAAUGUCAUUUUUCUGUGUGAUCAUUAAAAACUGUAGGAUUAAUCUACAAAUUAAAGUUAUUUUUCUGCGUGUGAUGUGCAGAGAACGACUUAUGGAUCAACUGUAAGGCAUUGCACACAUUGUCAACACUGUUAAAGUGUCUUAAGUAGUUCAAUCAUACUUUUAUAAAGCUGUGAUCAGAUAUAUGGACUGUUUUUAGAUUAAAUUUCAUCUAAAAUGCCUCAGUUUGUGUUUGAAUAUGACUGGAUGCCUCAUAGGUUUUGAAUAGGGUGAGUAGUCAAUGACAGGGUGCUCAUUUCUGACUGAACUAUGCCUUUGAAACGGUCAUUUCUCACACUAAUCCACCCUAACAGGUCAGUAAAAUCAAAGCGCAUCUCAUUUGUUUGUCUCUCGUCGUCUCCUCUAUUCUCACUUUACACAACUGUAGCACUUAUUUCCUAAACCUCAUCGAAUAUUUUAAACAAUCAUUGAAGCUAAGCUGCUAGAAACGUGUCAUUAUGUUUAUGUGAAAAGUAUUUUUUUGAUCCUGUAAUAAAUGUUAAUUUUUUGGGUUUGUUUUCUAUUCAACCAACAAUAAACAUAUUACACACCAA